rnacentral:rRNA from 1 species
CCUACGGGAGGCAGCAGUGGGGAAUUUUGGACAAUGGGCGCAAGCCUGAUCCAGCAAUGCCGCGUGCAGGAAGAAGGCCUUCGGGUUGUAAACUGCUUUUGUCAGGGAAGAAAUCCUCUGGGUUAAUACCUCGGGGGGAUGACGGUACCUGAAGAAUAAGCACCGGCUAACUACGUGCCAGCAGCCGCGGUAAUACGUAGGGUGCGAGCGUUAAUCGGAAUUACUGGGCGUAAAGCGUGCGCAGGCGGUUGUGCAAGACAGGUGUGAAAUCCCCGGGCUUAACCUGGGAACUGCACUUGUGACUGCACAGCUAGAGUACGGUAGAGGGGGAUGGAAUUCCGCGUGUAGCAGUGAAAUGCGUAGAUAUGCGGAGGAACACCGAUGGCGAAGGCAAUCCCCUGGACCUGUACUGACGCUCAUGCACGAAAGCGUGGGGAGCA